UACGGAGGAUGCAAGCGUUAUCCGGAAUGAUGGCGUAAAGCGUCUGUAGGUGGCUUUUUAAGUCCGCCGUCAAAUCCCAGGGCUCCAACCCUGACAGGCGGUGGAAACUACCAAAGCUGGAGUACGGUAGGGCAGAGGGAAUUUCCGGUGGAGCGGGUGAAAGUGCGUAGAGAUCGGAAAGAACACCAACGGCGAAAGCACUCUGCUGGGCCGACACUGACACUGAGAGACGAAAGCUAGGGAGCGAAUGGG
rnacentral:rRNA from 1 species